rnacentral:rRNA from 1 species
GCAGGUUGAAGCGCGGGUAAGACCGCGUGGAGGACCGAACCCACCUGGGUUGAAAACCGGGGGGAUGACCUGGGGCUAGGGGUGAAAGGCCAAUCAAAUUCCGUGAUAGCUGGUUCUCUCCGAAAUGCAUUUAGGUGCAGCGUCGGUUGAUUGCAUCGCGGGGGUAGAGCUACUGGAUGCUUGCGGGCCCGUAUGGGGUACCAAUAGCAGCCAAACUCCGAAUACCGUGGAUGUGUAUUCCGGCAGUGAGUCGGCGGGGGAUAAGCUCCGUCGUCGAGAGGGAGACAGCCCAGAUCGUCGUCUAAGGUCCCGAAGCGUGUGCUAAGUGGGAAAGGAUGUGGAGUCGCAUAGACAGCCAGGAGGUUGGCUCAGAAGCAGCCAUCCUUGAAAGAGUGCGUAACAGCUCACUGGUCUAGUGGUUCCGCGCCGACAAUGUAGCGGGGCUCAAGCACACCACCGAAGACGCGGCAGCGGCCUUUGCGGCCGUUGGGUAGGAGAGCGUCCCGCGUGGGGCGAAGCGGCCGGGGAACCGUGCCGUGGACCGCGCGGGAGUGAGAAUGCAGACAUGAGUAGCGAGAGACGGGUGAGGAUCCCGUCCGCUGGAUGACCAAGGGUUCCGGGGCCACGUUCGUCGUCCCCGGGUGAGUCGGGUCCUAAGGCGAGGCCGACAGGCGUAGUCGAAUGGAUGAACGGGUGGAUAUUCCCGUACCGGCGGCGUACCGUAAGAGCCGAACGGAUGAGUACUAACCUCCGGUCGCGUGGCGUCGUUCCCUUCGGGGUUCGGUGUCCGCGGUCGUUGGGAGCGUAGUCCCGGUAGGCUAGCGCACAGGGGUGACACGGAAUGGGAGCCGGCCGCGGAGGUGGUUUUCCGUGGUCAAGCACGCAGCCCGUCCCAUAGGCAAAUCCGUGGGGCAUGUAGGGUGAGGUGUGAUGAUGGGCGUCCUUUGGACGCGAUAUCCGGUGGUCCAGGCCGUCGAGAAAAGCCUCGGCGCGAGGGGCGUCGCCGCCCGUACCCCAAACCGACACUGGUGGUCAGGUAGAGAAUACCAAGGCGAUCGAGCGAAUCCUGGUCAAGGAACUCGGCAAAUCACUCCCGUGCCUUCGGUAUAAGGGAGACCCCCGGGCGUGAAGAGGCUUGCCCUCGGAGCGUUGGGGGGUGGCACAGACCAGGGGGUAGCGACUGUUUACCAAAAACACAGGUGCAUGCGAAGGCGCAAGCCGCUGUAUAUGCACUGACGCCUGCCCGGUGCCGGAAGGUUAAGAGGAUCCGUCAGUCCCUUUUGGGGUGAAGCGGUGAAUUCAAGCCCCGGUAAACGGCGGUGGUAACUAUAACCAUCCUAAGGUAGCGAAAUUCCUUGUCGGGUAAGUUCCGACCUGCACGAAUGGCGUAACGACUUCCCCACUGUCUCGACCAGGAGCUCGGCGAAAUUGCAGUACGAGUAAAGAUGCUCGUUAAGCGCAGAAGGACGAAAAGACCCCGGGACCUUUACUAUACCUUGGUAUUGGCGUUAGGCGCGGAUUGUGUAGCAUAGGCGGGAGGCUUCGAAGCAUGGGCGCCAGCCCGUGUGGAGCCGCAAGGUGAAAUACCGCUCUGUUCUCGUUUGACGUCUAACCUCGAACAGUCAUCCUGUUCAGGGACAGUGCCUGGCGGGUAGUUUAACUGGGGCGGUUGCCUCCCAAAGAGUAACGGAGGCGCUCAAAGGUCCGCUCAGCCCGGUUGGCAAUCGGGUUUCGAGUGUAAUCGCACAAGCGGGCUUGACUGCGAGAACGACGGUUCGGGCAGGGACGAAAGUCGGAGAUAGUGAUCCGGUGCCGGCGCACGGGCGCGGCAUCGCUCAACGGAUAAAAGGUACCCCGGGGAUAACAGGCUGAUCAUUCCCAAGAGUCCAUAUCGACGGGAUGGUUUGGCACCUCGAUGUCGGCUCGUCGCAUCCUGGGGCUGGAGCAGGUCCCAAGGGUUCGGCUGUUCGCCGAUUAAAGCGGCACGCGAGCUGGGUUCAGAACGUCGUGAGACAGUUUGGUCUCUAUCCUCUGCGCUCGUUGGAAUCCUGAGGAGGCCUGCCCAUAGUACGAGAGGACCUGGGUGGACGGACCUCUGGUAUGCCGGUUGUCGCGCCAGCGGCAUGGCCGGUUGGCUACGUUCGGGAGGGAUAACCGCUGAAAGCAUCUAAGCGGGAAGCCUGCUCCAAGAUUAGGAUUCCUUGGCACUUCGGUGCCUGUAGCCCGCAUGUGGAACACGUGUUCGAUAGGCCGGAGGUGGAAGCCCCGCGAGGGGUGGAGCCGACCGGUACUAACGGGCGA